AAACGAGAUCCAACCCGAGCCCAGAACCUACGCGUUCUAUUUCUCCUCCAACAGUUAACCCAAAGAAACCUAGAAAAUCGCGACACGAAUCGCGAACCAGUAUCUCAAACCCAGCUCCGCAUCCCUCUCCUAUUGUCCUUAUCUACUUGUACUCAAAUCCUGAGGUGUCUCCAUCUUUGCAUCUCACUCCUCCUUGCUCGAGAAUCAAGCAACUUCAUCAUUAUUCUUUUUGAGACUUGUACUCAUUCGAGCUGGCAGCCUUAUCCCUUGAAGAGAAUUCGAAAUUCAAUCGGUUUCCCCCUCUUUCUGCCUUAUAUCUCCCCUUAUAAAUAUCCCCUCCUUCUUCAUUGUUUGGGGAUUGGGAAGAAAAGUUAGAAAUUUUUAGUUGGAAAAUUUGGAUUCAAGAAAAGUAAAGUAUACCGUGAAAUACAGACCCAAAAGUCCACCAAUAUUAACAUCUGCCUGAGUUCACCAUGAACUCCUAUUUUCCUUUUCCCGCAUUUCGUGAGAGACACGAAGGCUUCAACCCUUUCCUUCGAGUCGGCCGACCCUUGAAACUGAUGAACAGGUGUCGAGAAAGGCAUACAUGGCUGGAAGUUGACUUAUCAAGUCCCUAAAGCCUAAAAAAGGGGCUACAUAUGUGAUGCAUACCUGUUGUAUACACUGGUAUACGGGGCAAAAUAUUGUAAUAAAGGGUAAACGCAGCAGAAUACUGAAAAGAAAGGAGAGAACGUACAAGAUGUUGAAGAAAUUAGGCUGAUAUACAGCUUAAAAAUGACUAUAUAUAGUGUGAUACAUUUUGUAUAUACAGCAGGCUCAACAAAGAAGAAAAGGCCUGAUUUGGCCCAAAUUUGCAUCAGCUUUAGAAUUGGGGCAAAAAGCUCAAGUUUGAAUCUUAUUCUUCCUUUACUCUUAUUUACGUAUAUAUUUAUUGUGUUAACUAACUAACUAUUUUAUUUUAUUUUGGUUGUUAUUUAAUUAAACCCCCCUAAAAGAAGUCAUUUUUUUUCUUUUUCUUA